rnacentral:ribozyme from 1 species
AUCAUUGCAUGCAAGUGACGUCGAACGCCGACAUCAUUGGCAACAUCAUGGCUGGUUGUGGCGGCUCUGGCAUCGCUGU